GAUAAGACGAAUUAGGCCAAUACCGGGUUUAGAUGGUUACCCGUGCAUUUUGCAUUCCAUAUCAUGCAUUAGUAGUCUAAAUUAGUUUAAUUUCGAAUUAGUACCAAUGUAGUAAGUUUCUCGAUUAUGUACUAUGUCAAGGUGGUGAGUCCUCCGAUAAAGGCAAGAAAAUUGCAUCCGAGGACUAGUAGUCAGAGUACUUCGAAAAU
rnacentral:lncRNA from 1 species